rnacentral:rRNA from 1 species
UACGUAGGGAGCGAGCGUUAUCCGGAUUUAUUGGGUGUAAAGGGUGCGUAGAUGGAUAUGCAAGUUGGUUGUGAAAUACCUCGGCUUAACUGAGGAACUGCAACCAAAACUGCAAAUCUUGAGUACUGGAGGGGAAAGCGGAAUUCCUAGUGUAGCGGUGAAAUGCGUAGAUAUUAGGAAGAACACCGGUGGCGAAGGCGGCUUUCUGGACAGAAACUGACAUUGAGGCACGAAAGUGUGGGGAGCAAACAGG